rnacentral:rRNA from 1 species
AUUGAACGCUUGCGGCACGCCUAACACAUGCAAGUCGAGCGACAGCAUGCUUCGUAGCAAUACUAAGUGAUGGCGAGCGGCGGACGGGUGAGGAACACGCAGGAACCUGCCCAAGAGAGGGGGAUAACUAAGGGAAACUUUAGCUAAUACCGCAUAACCUCUGAGGAGAAAAGUUGCCCUCAAGGGUAGCGCUUUUGGAGGGGCCUGCGUCCGAUUAGAUAGUUGGUGAGGUAAUGGCUCACCAAGCCGAUGAUCGGUAACUGGUCUGAGAGGACGACCAGUCACACUGGCACUGAGAGACGGCCCAGACUCCUACGGGAGGCAGCAGUGGGGAAUCUUGGACAAUGGGGGCAACCCUGAUCCAGCGAUGCCGCGUGGGUGAAGAAGGCCCUCGGGUUGUAAAGCCCUUUAGGCUGGGAAGAAGAGUGCGGGGUGAAUAAUCCUGUACUUUGACGGUACCAGCAGAAUAAGCACCGGCAAACUCUGUGCCAGCCGCCGCGGUAAGAC